CACGUAGUUAGCCGGUGCUUCUUAUACAGGUACCGUCACAAAAAGCUUCGUCCCUGUCGAAAGGAGUUUACAACCCGAAGGCCGUCAUCCCCCACGCGGCGUCGCUGCAUCAGGCUUCCGCCCAUUGUGCAAUAUUCCCCACUGCUGCCUCCCGUAGGAGUCUGGGCCGUAUCUCAGUCCUAAUGUGGCCGUACACCCUCUCAGGCCGGCUACCCGUCGACGCCUUGGUAGGCCAUUACCCCACCAACAAGCUGAUAGGCCGCGAGCUCAUCUUGCACCGAAAAAACUUUCCAACCACCACACUAAAGGCAGUUCAUAUCCGGUAUUAGACCCAGUUUCCCAAGCUUAUCCCAGAGUGCAAGGCAGAUCACCCACGUGUUACUCACCCGUUCGCCACUCGAGUACCCCUGCAAGCAGGGGCCUUUCCGUUCGACUUGCAUGUGUUAAGCACGCCGCCAGCGUUCGUCCUGACGCCGACGGAUCAAACUCUA
rnacentral:rRNA from 1 species